rnacentral:tRNA from 1 species
GGGCCAGUAGCUCAUCUGGUAGAGCGCCGCCCUUGCACGGCGGAGGCAGCGGGUUCAAGUCCUGUCUGGUCCACAA